UUAAUAUGACUAUUUAUUUUAUUAAGUGUAAUUAUUUACCUUGUGUGAUUUUGAGAUAUGAUAUGAAUUUGCAUAGUGAAUAAUGCAAUAAAAAUAUUUUGAUAAUUUCGAUUUUUAAGAUUAUCAAUUGAGUUUUGAAAAUCCGGGCGCAGAAUAUUAAGAUUUAGCAGCUUUGUAGAAUUGUUAGCUCGUACGAUAUUUUGCGACCUAUUAAGAUUAGAUUAUCUUGUAGGUCCACUUGUUAGAAGGUUUUAGCACUGGUUUUACAAGAAGAGAAUUGUGCAAAUUUUAUCUACAGGCUUGUCCUAUCAAGGUUGAGCGGCAGGUGGUGUCGUACGAGGCUGAGGGAGGAUGUUGCUGUAGUUUCAUAUAAUAAUUUCUGCUGCCAUAAUAUUCACUUAGGUGGAUAUCUUUUGAGAUUGACUCUUUAAAUAUUCUUAGUCUAAUUAUUAUGAAUUCUAUGGCAAUCGCAUUUCUAGCAAUUGAACCUCGCAUAUAUGUAUGUCUAGUAUGAAGUGUUAUCUUGUUGUCCCAGAUCGACCUCCGAACUUUUGAUCCUGGUUGGGAAAAUUUCUAUCUUAAUUGUUGUAUUUAUUAUCCUUCAAUUGCGGCACUCCUUUAUUAACAAUGUAUUACCCGAAUCUAAGAACAUAUCACCCAUUUUAUUCUAACAAAGUCUAGCAAAUCCCUUUAAGUAGCCGUUUCUUAUUCUCCCGGGAGUCGGGCUGUCACAUCUUUGAAGAGGACAAAAACAUCGGCUGCUGAAGCCGGUGAGCAGGAAAGAAUAGUGAAGAAGAGAAAAACAGAUAAAUCUGAUCCAAAAGUUCCUGAUGGAAAAAGUGUGAUAGUCCAAAGAAGCAAGAAAGAUGAAGAUGUGGUAAUAAAUUCAAAGAAAGAAGUGAAGGUUGUUGUAAAACGUCA